rnacentral:rRNA from 1 species
UACGUAGGGUGCGAGCGUUGUCCGGAAUUAUUGGGCGUAAAGAGCUCGUAGGCGGCUUGUCGCGUCGGAUGUGAAAGCCCGGAGCUCAACUCCGGGACUGCCUUGGAUACGGGAUCGCUUGAGGAUUGGAGAGGCAAGGGGAAUUCCACGUGUAGCGGUGAAAUGCGUAGAUAUGUGGAGGAACACCUGUGGCGAAGGCGCCUUGCUGGCCAAUUUCUGACGCUGAGGCGCGAAAGCGUGGGGAGCAAACAGG